CAAUAGCGUAUAUUAAAGUUGUUGCAGUUAAAAAGCUCGUAGUUGGAUUUCUGGUAGGAGUGACCGUUCCGAACUUGAUUGUUCGUGUAUUGUGUUUUCUCCAGCCAUCCUUGUGGAGAACUUUUCUUGCAUUAAUUUGUAGGGAUUGGGACCCGCAUCGUUUACUGUGAAAAAAUUAGAGUGUUUAAAGCAGGCAAUCGCUUGAGUACAUUAGCAUGGAAUAAUAAGAUAGGACUUUGGUACUAUUUUGUUGGUUUGCAUACCAAAUUAAUGAUCAACAGGAACAGUUUGAGGAUAUUCGUAUGAACAUGUCAGAGGUGAAAUUCUUGGAUUUUGAUCAGACGAACUACUGCGAAAGCAUUUAUCAAGGAUGUUUUCAUUAA
rnacentral:rRNA from 1 species